GUGGGUUUAUAGUUCCUAGAUAUUACAUCUUUCUAACCUCUUAAGCUUUGAUCACCAAAGCCUCCGAAGACAUUUGAAUAACAAAGCUUUGUUUUUUUCCCUAUCAAUGAUCCCACUCUUGACCCUUCUUUGUCCUUUUCUCGCACCAUUAAAUUCCAAGAUACUUUCCAUUUCUUUCUAGUAUCAUAAGUUUCAACCUUGAUGCAACUAUAUUAUUUGAUAUUUUCAC
rnacentral:lncRNA from 1 species